CCCGGCUCUUGGCACGCGUUCGGCUGAUGCUUGCAAAGUCCAAAUCUCCUCGCCACCAAGCCGACAAAGCGGGUGACUCGAAUGUGACAGUUUUGGCACCUCUCUGCUGCGGCUCGGUAUAAAUUCCACCUCCCGGCCCCGGCCCGUCACUGGCUCAAGCGGGUACUGGUAGAACUGGCAGCAGACACCCCAGCUGAUGAUGGCUUCCGAGCACCAAAUGCCAGCCUCCAAGCAGCAGCAAGCCAGCUCCAAGAUUGCCAUCUUCGAGCAGGAGAACUUCCAGGGCCGCUGCCAUGAGCUCAGCGGGGCCUGCCCCAACCUGAAGGAAGCCGGCGUGGACAAAGUGGGCUCCAUCCUGGUGCACUCCGGACCGUA